CGCGGCGGCAGCGAAGUGGGAAUGAAUAUUCCGACCACCGCCCCCUCGACAUAAACAGAAGCUACCAUUGGUCCGUGCUGCAUAACGUCACGCAGCCGGCAUGCCUAUUUCACGUGAUCGCUAAGGCGUUUCUCAAUGAAAGGGGCCGGGAGGCGGGGCCAGAGCGCGUGCACAGAGGGUAGUAGGUCACGGUGUCCUCGCACCUCGAGCGUUUGUCAGGAGGGCUGCGCCCGGCGCGGUGUCGACCCGAGCAGCCUAGCGGAUCCGAGCUCCUCGAUCCCCGGCUCCCGGUCUGGGUUCCUGAGCUGUUUUACAUUCACAACAAAAUUGAAACGAAGGUACAGAAAAUUUCCAUUUGCCUCCUGCUUGAUUUGCGUUUUAAUAAUUGGAUCUAUGACCCAGCAUUUCCGCUUCCUGUUAUCUGUUGAUAUCUCAGUUGUGGCAUCAUGCGUGGAAUCAGUCGUGUCCGACUCUUUACAGCCUCAGGGACUGUAGCCUGCCAGGCUCCUCUGUCCUUGGAGUCUUUUUUCAAGUCAGGAAUACUGAAGACGGUUGCCUUUUCCUACUCCAACUGAUACCUCAGAGUAGCACUCAAAAGAAUCCAAGAAUGAAAGAACAAACAAAAACAAAAGGAAACAAUCCAAGAAAAGGCUCGAACAAAGAUACUACUACAGGAUCACAAACAACAGUACUGUAUUUACAAAUAGUGCUUCUAAUAGUGGAAAACUGAUCAGUAGGAGAAUGGAGAAAUGAGUCACAGAAUAUUCCUACUGCGGAGUAUUAUGCAGUUGUAACAAAGGGUGCGGUAGAUCAAUGUGGAAAAAAAUCUCCAAGGUGUAGUAACUAAAACAGGCAAAUAGAAUUAAAACACUAAGGUUUAUUUUAGAAAGAAGAAAGAAAACCAUUAUUUACUAAUUUUUCUAACUAGGCAACUGUUUCUUAUAUGUAUACGUAAGAAGGUCAAAGACUGAGGGAAAGAAAAUGUUUUAUCCCUAUAGAAUAUGAUGAUUAAAUAUUUAAAAAUUUUCCUAAUUAGUAGUUAUUUCUGAGGUGCAGAAUAUAACAUAACACUGAAACUAUUUGUCGCUCACAGUAAAUAAAUGUUGAUCUUUUCCA